AGCAAGGCAUAAGAUCUGUCAUAGUUUAGUAAGAAAGAUAAAAAGAAACAUAAAAAUUCCCGAAGUUUUCUUACUUCCAGCAUUUUAGUCAUUUUUCUUUAGGAUUCUUUAGUAAAACUUCGUGCUUGGAAAAACAAAGGCUGUGAAUAAUCUAAACGCGCUGAUAACUGCCAAUGUUUUAUGGCAUAAAGACUCGACUUUGUUUUGUGAAAAGCGGAAAUGCGGUAAUACGAGUAUUUGAGGGAGAACUUGACAUCACAUUUAUUUUUCCUUGAGCUUCAUCAUGGCUGACCCAGCAGAUUCUGCGGCCAGUGGAGAGACGCCAAAGAAAGCUAAGACCCAGCAGCUGGAAGGAGUGUCAACAAAGGCUGAAGACGUCGAAUUGAAAUGCCUUAACUCAAGUCACUGUGCUAGUCUCUUCUAAAAUUUGUAUUUUAACGAAAAUAAAAAGGAAAUACGAAAAUAA